rnacentral:lncRNA from 1 species
CUGAGCCUAGGGAAGGCUGAGGGCUAGAAAGAAAAAGACCUUCUUCCCAUGAUCCUCUUCUGGAGAGACAAAGACACACCCAUGAGGACUCUGGAAGGUGACAGCCAAGCUGUGCAGAAACAAAGGCUGCUUUUCCUCUUCAUCACUGCUAGGCUGAAUGUUGGAGCCUGGAGCAGCUGAGUUUGGGCGUCUGUGGUCAAGUCCUUGUCUGAUUCAUCUCUGUGUGCCUGCAGGAACUGCCCAGAGGAUGGGCCAGGUGAAGGAGUCACCUUAGAAGAUAAGGCCUCCCUUGAUGAGGUUUAAAUCAAACCGACUCUGGCCUGAAAAAAAUGCCACCUGCCCCACUGCCUGCUGACCUUGGAAUGGCUUCCUUCUAGAGAUUCGGAUUGCAAAAUCCAGAAUUUAUGCAAUUGAGUUCAACCUUUUUCCUUGGACUAGGGAGAGGACUUUUGCCCCCCUGGCCUAGGUACCUGCUUGCUUUAUCUACUGGUCCUUCCAAGGAGGGCUUUCUCAGAGUGUAUGCCCAGGGUAGACCCUGUCUUCUAAAUUGAAUGAAAUGUAUCCACUCCCAGAAGG